rnacentral:rRNA from 1 species
GAUGAACGCUAGCGGCAGGCUUAACACAUGCAAGUCGAGGGGCAGCGCGAUGUAGCAAUACAUUGGCGGCGACCGGCGCACGGGUGCGUAACACGUAUGGAACUUACCCUUUACUGGGAGAUAGCCCGGAGAAAUCCGGAUUAAUAUCCCAUAAUAAACGAAGUGGCAUCACUUUGUUUGAAAGCUCCGGCGGUAAAGGAUGGCCAUGCGCACGAUUAGCUAGUAGGUGAGGUAACGGCUCACCUAGGCUACGAUCGUUAGGGGGCCUGAGAGGGUUAUCCCCCACACUGGUACUGAGACACGGACCAGACUCCUACGGGAGGCAGCAGUGAGGAAUAUUGCGCAAUGGAGGCAACUCUGACGCAGCCAUGCCGCGUGCAGGAAGAAGGCGCUACGCGUUGUAAACUGCUUUUAACCGGGAAGAAACCCUCCGACGUGUCGGAGGUUGACGGUACCGGAG